AGUUUGCAUCGUUUGCAUUCUGUUCGCGAACCUGUCAGUAAGAUUAUCAGCACUAAUUAUCGCACAGGAUUGGUUUUUACUUUUUAUGGUCGUCAACGUUGAUUUCAAGUGUCGUCAUUUUAGCCUAAUAUUCGUGCUGAUUGGUGGUAUUGUGCCAACUGACAAAAUUGCGAACAGAGUGAUAUUUCACUUUAGUUCUGUGGCUCUGUGGUCGUUGACACGCAUUAUUAUGGUCAGAUUAUGGUGAUAGAAUGCUACAUAGGGUGAAGGCUUAGGUUAGGUUAAUUUAUUUCUGAAGCUUACUGUUGUCUGUCAAACUUUUCAUAUAUGCUUAUCUAUUUGAUAAGCACAGCCCACAGGUUAUCAUCACAACAAUGCCGAGCGUCCGCCGCCGGCUCAUCCACCGCUGAUAGCGCCGGGUGUGGAGCUCCGGUGUUUUUGUGGGCGCCGUCCUGCCGCUCUCCUGAACUACUAAACCCAUGGCGUGCGCAUGGACCGGACUUCAGAGGGCCAUACACGUCCGUUCACACCAGGCCAGCUGGACAGAAGGUGGGAUACACCCAGCUGCGAGUGGUGGGUCGACGCUCUGAGUGAAGACAGAUGCGGGUCUUGGUGAAGGCAGAGACAGAGGCAGGUUCUGCAGAGCUAAGGUGCCGGACUUGCCGAUGAUGAUGUGCGUCGCAAUGAGUUGGAUAUCGUGGCUCCUACAUACUCGUACACACCGACAUCAUACGAAAUAAAUCUUGAUAUUUAAUUCGAUCACUCUGGUUUCAUAUCGUUAAUGUUGCCUAUCGACAUAUGGUUUUUGGUAGCAAAUAAAAUGUUAAAAUGUAUCUAUGCUGCAGAUUACGCUGAGCUCAACUAAUAUAUGCUGCGGCUGCAAUGCAAACGGUGGUUCCAAAGCCACUCGUCAAACCACCACCAGCAGGUGACGUACCCGCUCUCCACCAGCAC